rnacentral:misc_RNA from 1 species
AACCAUAGAAACCUGCGGAGUACCUGCGGAAGGAUCAUUACAGAGUUGCAAAACUCCCUAAACCAUUGUGAACGUUACCUAAACCGUUGCUUCGGCGGGCGGCCCGGGUCCUUCCCGGCGCCCCUCGGCCCUCGCGGGCGCCCGCCGGAGGUAAACCUAACUAUUGCAUUGUAUGGCCUCUCUGAGUCUUCUGUACUGAAUAAGUCAAAACUUUUAGCAACGGAUCUCAGAUCGGAAGAG